rnacentral:sRNA from 1 species
AAAAGGAGAUUUCAAAUCUCAGAUUUGCAAAACUAUCAUUUUUUUACUACUCUUUUGCAACAAUAACCUUUUAUGUUGUCCAUUUUUAAAAUACCCCUUCUCUUAAAUAGAAUGACCAAAUUACCUUCAUCUAAUAGGAACAUGUAAUUGGAAACUGAAAAUUUCCCGCCAAAUUUAUUUUUCCCUUCAAAAA